GACGAACGCUGGCGGCGUGCCUAAUACAUGCAAGUAGAACGCUGAAGGAGGAGCUUGCUUCUCUGGAUGAGUUGCGAACGGGUGAGUAACGCGUAGGUAACCUGCCUGGUAGCGGGGGAUAACUAUUGGAAACGAUAGCUAAUACCGCAUAAGAGUAGAUGUUGCAUGACAUUUGCUUAAAAGGUGCAAUUGCAUCACUACCAGAUGGACCUGCGUUGUAUUAGCUAGUUGGUGGGGUAACGGCUCACCAAGGCGACGAUACAUAGCCGACCUGAGAGGGUGAUCGGCCACACUGGGACUGAGACACGGCCCAGACUCCUACGGGAGGCAGCAGUAGGGAAUCUUCGGCAAUGGACGGAAGUCUGACCGAGCAACGCCGCGUGAGUGAAGAAGGUUUUCGGAUCGUAAAGCUCUGUUGUAAGAGAAGAACGAGUGUGAGAGUGGAAAGUUCACACUGUGACGGUGUCUUACCAGAAAGGGACGGCUAACUACGUG
rnacentral:rRNA from 1 species